rnacentral:rRNA from 1 species
UACGUAGGGUGCAAGCGUUAAUCGGAAUUACUGGGCGUAAAGCGUGCGCAGGCGGUUUUGUAAGUCUGUCGUGAAAUCCCCGGGCUCAACCUGGGAAUGGCGAUGGAGACUGCAAGGCUAGAGUUUGGCAGAGGGGGGUAGAAUUCCACGUGUAGCAGUGAAAUGCGUAGAUAUGUGGAGGAACACCGAUGGCGAAGGCAGCCCCCUGGGUCAAAACUGACGCUCAUGCACGAAAGCGUGGGAGCAAACAGG